GGAGUUGUUAGCUAAGUGGUAGAGUGCAUGUAUGUAUGUAUGAGGUCCUGGGUUCAAUCCCCAGCUUCUCCC
rnacentral:tRNA from 1 species